ACGAAAAAUACACAAGCAAAAAACGCACGUUUGAAUGCAAUAUUUUUGGAAAAAAGAACACUUUUGAGUUUCUAAAAAACGAGUUUUGUUUCAUUCCCAAAUGUGGGAGUGGCCAAAUGCAAACACUGCGCGCACUUCAUUUUAUUUUUUAUUCUUUGUUUUUGUAAUGCUUAAUUUACUAAAAAAUUCAGUUUGUUGUGUAAAAUUGUUGUUGUUUGAAAGUAUUUUUGUUGUUACUUGCUUAAAUGUAAACGUUCAUUAGUAUUGUAAGUAGAGCGUCCAUAUCGAGAUCGAAUUCCAUUGUUAUUAAUAUUUUUUCCAAUUUUUAUUUCAUUAUAUAAUAAGUAUGUGUGUGUUGUGUUUAAUGAGCAAAGCUUGGCUUCAAUAAUAUUUUUUUAAGCUUACAUGGAAGGCAGUUAGGCGAAUACCAGAAUAUACGUAGUAGCAGUAAUUCAUAAAAUAUUAGGGGUGUUCUAAACAUUGGCGCACACAGGUUUUCUGUUGAUUUCAUUGGUAUUUGGCCACAUACUCGCAUAUUUAUGUAGAUACUCACACAGGUAUUAGACACAAGCUCUACACUUCCAAAAAAAAAAACUGGAAUUUUUUUACUUUCAAUUUUUUUAGAAAAAAUAUAUUUUAAACUUAUAAGGUUUUUAAAGAGAAAUGCCAUACUAUAAAUAAUAAAUAACUUAAUUUAUUCGAUCAUAUACCUUGAACACAGAAAACCUCGUUCUUUGAGAGUUAAAAUCUUGUUAAAUUGAGUCAGCAAGAGAUUUCUCCGUGAAGAAUUAAAAAAUCAAGCUUUCUAUAACUUCUUUUUGUCCAUUCCAUAUUCCAUUUAAGGACAUUUAAAUAAGAGAUUAAUUCCAAACCAAGCCGAUCUUACAAAAUUAUAUUUAAAAAAAAUUUUCCAGAAAAAUUUGGUUAAUUAUGCUUCGAAAAGAUUUUUGAACGUCGGUCCGAAAUAAUUUUCUAACAGAACCCUCAAAAAAGUCUACCGAUAAUACUUUCUUUCUAAUUCGGCAGUCGUCUUUAACUUAAGUGACAAACUGAUUAAAAAAAAAAAUAAAUAAAAUCAAAUACAAAAGGCAAUACACAAUCUUAAGGGGUUACAUGGGUUUCCUCGGUAAAAAACAGCCUUUUUUCAACAAUUUUUUCUCAUAUCGUAUUUUAUUAGAUUUUUUUUGUUGCAAACAUACACUAUUAACAGAGAAAUUCUGAAAUUUUGGAAAAAAAUAUUUCAAACUCGGCCCUUGCAGCGACAUUUUCGGUGACCCCUCGGAAAAAGAGGCGCCCGCGUUGGCAGCAUAAUUCCUUACAUAAUCAUCUAAAGUGAAAAAAACGUGUUUUAGUUUAAACCUUAAUUUAGAACCUGGACGAAGGAUAAAAAAACUGAAAAUUUUUCCAAAAAAAAAAAAACAAAAAAUAAAAAUUCCUGUGGAAAUUUCGCGACUUUUUUUCAAAUAGUUGUAAUCGAAAAAACUCCUUCAUCCAAGUCUUUAAGAAUUGUAUCUCAAAGACCUGUGUAAAAUUUCAUGAAUAUCGGUUAAGUAGUUCUCGAGAAAUCUUGCCAAACCGACAUCAAAAAGAAAGUUUCGAGAAAAACGCGUUAGUCUAGCUAGCCUCGAGCGCACAAGUUCUCAACGCGGUAUCUUCGAAACUAUUACUCGGAUCAACUUGAAAAUUUAGGACAAUAUUCUAGAAGUGUUGCAGAAUUUAAUAAGACAAUAAAAAAAUCGAUUUUUUGAAACCCGUAAACCCAGGUAACCCUUUAAGACCUCACCACAUGACCUCAUCGUAUGGUCAUAUGUGGCAGAAAUUGGAUUCACUUCCAAAAAUGUCUACGGGUUCUAGCAGCAAAAUCAGAGACUAAGAAGUUAGAAGAAAUUACAUUUUAGAGUUUAUCGCCUAACGAAAAUAUACACACCACUUAAAGCUUUUAUGAAAGGAUAUACCAUUGGUUGCGGGGACCCGGAAAUUUUGUCAAAGGCUGUAGAAAAAGUUGUAUCUUCAAUUGUCGAUCUAGUCUUGAAAUAUUUAUAAGAGAUCAAAUAUUUUUAGACUGCUCUAAAAAGUAUUUACAAAACAUUUUUCUUUACUUGGCCCAUUUUCAAAUUACUUCCCGCUUUACAACAUCACAAUGGUAUAACUGUUAGACUCUACAUCAACUUUUUUUCAUACACUGAAGAGCAUUUUUAGUUUGUCACAAAGUUUGUAAAACCCCGAAGGAAACGUCGGAGACCCUUUCAAUAUUAGAAAUGUCUGUUUAUCUGUAUUUUAACGACUUAGUUCCUCACUUUUUGAGAUAUCGAUAAAAAAUUUUGCACAGGUUCGAGUCUUUGUAUGAACUUGAUCCACUGGAAACACUGAGAUCGAACCACUAUAAUUUAUAACUGUCAUACAAAAUCGAAUCGAUCGAAAUCAAUAUAAAUAUCUUUUUAUACCCUUUUAUAUUAAAUAUAGCUUCCAGAAAUCGUACAAAGAUAGGUUAGAAACUCUCAUAGACCAGACCAAACACAAUUUUUUUUAGAAAGAGAUCAAAGUUUUGAGUUACAAUAAUGAUAGUUAGGCCAUUGCUGGCGAUAUACUAGAUAUUGCUGCCUAAAGACGGUGAAGUCAAUAGUCGAAUUUUCAGGAAAAUUAAAUAUAAGCGAAAGUAUUGCCUGUCAUGAAAUGAAACAUUAUAUUUUUAAGAUUUCAAUUCGAAGUUCUAUUAUAUAGAACACUCUCCCAAAUGACUUCAAAUAAUUUAAAGCUUUUUAAAGGCAACAAUGGAGCAUCUUUUGUGCACUCUUCCCGCAUUGGCAAGACUACGCUAUAAGCAUCUGGGGUCCCGACUUUAUGAUACACUAGAGGAGAAUGACUACUUCUCAUGGACCAAGCAACUGAGUUCCAUCUGGUAUCGCAAAGGACCAGAACUCGUUUAUGCGUGGCUUAUUCGCCUACCAGAUUAACCUAACCUGACCUAAAGCUUUUCGCUUAUUUUGUCUAAUGAAUUUGUUGUUUGACAGUUCCUUUGCUAUCUUCAUUAAGCAAUCAAGAAUGCAAAAAGCCUUGUGUUAAGAACCACCCUAAUAUUUUUAUUAAUCUUGAUUGCAAUCAAGAAUGCAAAAAAUCGCUGUGUUAAGAACAACCCUAAUAUUUUUAUUAAUCUUGAUUGCAUUGUAGGAAUAUUUAUUCUAUAUAUUUUUGCUAUGCUUUAUUCGAAAUAUCGAAUAAUAGACUUUAGCCGGAGUAUAUAUUUUAGUGUGCAAACAUUAUUCUUUAGGUAUGGCACAAAGAAAAGACCUGUGGCAGUUGGCAGUAUAUUAGAGCCUAAAAUCUUAAGGCGACUUAAGGUAUCAAUUUGAGUUGUUUUAAUCUUUUGUUUUAUCCUUAACUACAUACGUAGUCGAGAGUUUGAAAUCGCUAUAAUAUGGAGAUAAAUAACAUAUCCGGAAUUUUACCAGAAAACAAAAUACCAAUCAUUACUUAAUUUGAUUUAACCUAACUUAUCAUAUCAAGAGGUUUUUAUGAAAAAAAAAAUUUUUGAAUUUAGAACGCCCCUAGUGCUUAUAAGCAUACAUCCCAAAAUCAUUCUUAAUCACUUAUAAA